rnacentral:lncRNA from 1 species
AAGCGGGCACGGAGCGGCCGCUCCUUCCCCGGGCACCGCGGGUCGGGCCGGACCCCCCCGAGUCACACAUCCUUCCCCUCCCAGCCCCCCUCAGCUCCGGCACAAUGUAUUUUUAUUCCUUCGGAAUAAACCGACGGCUUUGUCGGAGCACAAAUUCACCCUUCCAACAGCGAAAUGGCCUCCCCCAACCCCUUCCUUGCCGCGUGAGAGCCCCGACGGCACCACGGUGUGCAGCCCUCAGCGCUCCGACGGCGCCCGCCUCAACCCCUUGUGAUUAUAUAACAGUUCUCAAGAGGAAGCUGCUAACAAGCCCAUCUGAUAUUUUGUGCCAGCUGUUUCAGUGGAGGCGUGUUGGACUAGACUGAACUCCGCUUUCUUUGACAAGCAAAACAUCUGAAAAGUGACAGAACCUGAAGAAAAAGGGAAUUCAAAAUCUGGCUCUGAAUUUUCUCCUGGACCAGUCUGUUCUUCCGUAUCCACAGACAAGUAGGUUUCUGCAGGAGUAGUUUAGAAGCCCCACCAUUAACCUGUCUUUCUGCAUGGUGCAGCAACUCCUGCUAAGAUCCUGUGAGUAUUUUGUAUGCUGUUCUUCUCCCUGCAAAGUAAAAGCUGAGACAUAAAACUAGAAGAUCCUCUCUAUUGUGAACACAGCACAGGAAGGCAGUUGUGAUGGAUAGGAGCUGAGCUGUGAUCAUGCUGCGGGUAGCUCCUGCUCUGUUUUGGAGACAGUAUGUGUAUGAUUAAAGUUACAUACAGAAGAAUAUGCC